rnacentral:rRNA from 1 species
AACGAACGCUGGCGGCGCGCCUAACACAUGCAAGUCGAGCGCGAAAAGGGCAACCUGAGUAGAGCGGCGCACGGGUGCGUAACACGUGGGUAAUCUGCCUUAGAGUCGAGGAUAACCUUCCGAAAGGUUGGCUAAUACUCGGUAAGCUUACGGUGUCUUCGGACGCUGUGGGAAAAGUAGGCCUCUGUUUACAAGCUUACGCUCUGAGAUGAGCCCGCGGCCCAUCAGCUAGUUGGCGGUGUAACGGACCACCAAGGCAACGACGGGUAGCUGGUCUAAGAGGACGAUCAGCCACACUGGAACUGAGACACGGUCCAGACUCCUACGGGAGGCAGCAGUGGGGAAUUUUCCACAAUGGGCGAAAGCCUGAUGGAGCAACGCCGCGUGUGUGAUGAAGGUUUUCGGAUCGUAAAGCACUUUCGACUGGGACGAAAAACCUUUGGCUAACAUCCAGGGGCCUGACGGUACCAGGAGAAGAAGCACCGGCUAACUCUGUGCCAGCCGCCGCCGUAAUAC